rnacentral:rRNA from 1 species
GUCUAUGGCCAUGCCACACUGAAUGAGCCUGAUCUUGUCUGAUCUCGGAAGCUAAGCAGGGUUGGGCCUGGUUAGUACUUGGAUGGGAGACCAUCUAGGAAUACCAGGUGCCACAGGCA